rnacentral:lncRNA from 1 species
GGAUUCUUGAUUGUAUUUGCAUCAGUGCUUUCUUCUUGUUUAUUAAUGAAAGUGAUUCAUUCUUAUGUAUUCAAGUGCGGACAACUUUUGGGACCAUUUUUGCCUCCAUAAAGUUUUCUUAUUUAGAACUUCCCUCCACCCCACUCUUUUAUUUUGGUUCUCAUUUUUCAAUUGAAAGCUCAGCCAUUGAUGUAUCUGUAAAUAUACGGUGGGAAGACUUUGACAUGACCGGGUUAGGAGUUUCAUUGUUUGAGAUCUUGGAUAGUCACAAAAUAAAUUGAGCAGCUACCUUAUUGUACUGCAAAGAAACUCUCAGAACUAUGAAAGAUGUUAGCUGGGAAGGGGGGACUAAUAUGAUAUCUUAGACUGGAUGGUACUUCAUUUCCUGAUCUUCAACUAGGUUUUAGUAUUGUCAAGUUGAUUUGAUGAAGAUUGUCUUCAUUGGUUGCUUGGUGGUAUACAAAAAAGAUAAAUGCGAUUUAUGCUUCUCUUGGAAUCAAGGUCCUUUGGAAUGAAGUUAAUUUUUUUAAAUUCAAGUGACAGUUGAUGUCUGCCUUAUUUAUCAUAAUCCCAUUCUGCCUUUUUUCGAUGAUGCUUAACAUUAACAUGAUGAGUUCCAUUAGCCCCAAAUAAUUUUAACUUACCAUAGAUGGGAGUUAAACUCUGGAAAUUUUGUUUUUCCACACAUGAACAGAAAG